rnacentral:rRNA from 1 species
AGCGAACGCUGGCGGCGUACUUAACACAUGCAAGUCGAACGGGGAUCGGCGCGUGAGCAAUCACAUGUCGGUUCUAGUGGCGUACGGGUGAGUAACACGUGGGUAACCUGCCCUGGAGACCGGGAUACCCUCCCGAAAGGGAGGCUAAUACUGGAUACGUUCCUUGGACCGCGAGGUCUGGGGAGGAAAGGUGGCGCAAGCUACCGCUCUUGGAGGGGCUCGCGGCCUAUCAGCUGGUUGGUGAGGUGACGGCUCACCAAGGCUAUGACGGGUAGCUGGUCUGAGAGGACGACCAGCCACACGGGGACUGAGACACGGCCCCGACACCUACGGGAGGCUG